UUUCUGUUGUUUUUGCAUUAUAGAUCAAUCUGGGAUCAUGGCAAUACCUCUAGACAAAAUACAGCUUCAUACAGUGAUUUUACAAAGUGAGGUCAUUGUCUCCUGCAAACAUCAUGAGAUCACCUCGUGGAUCAAGGCCUAUAAAACUUUCCUCCUAUGUCACCUUCGCAACAACAAGCCCUGCUCUAUUUCAGUAGGGUGACAUAAGCACAUGUACUGUACAUACUGGAUCGCAUACAGGUACGUGCACAACAUCUGGAACAAGCACACUGCCAAAUCAGGUCCACAUCAUGUGCAUAUGAUGAACAGGAAUCUCUUUCUCUUUGAACUGCACUUCACAUCUGCCAAGAUUGAAUAGCUCAAGUUUUUAUAUGCAAUGAUGCGGGACGUGGUUGUAAUGAAAUUGGAAGCGAUGUGCUCUUAUUGUAAAUUACUGCAUGUUACUGUACAAAAUGGCUAUGGGCAAU